rnacentral:rRNA from 1 species
GAUCAUGGCUCAGAUUGAACGCUGGCGGCAUGCUUCACACAUGCAAGGUCGAGCGGCAGCGGCGGGGCAACCCUGGCGGCGAGCGGCGGACGGGUGAGUAAUGCAUCGGAACGUAUCCCGUAGUGGGGGACAACCCAGCGAAGGCUGGGCUAAUACCGCAUAUGCUCUACGGAGGAAAGUGGGGGACCCGCAAGGGGCCUCACGCUAUGGGAGCGGCCGAUGUCCGAUUAGCUAGUUGGUGGGGUAAAGGCCUACCAAGGCGACGAUCGGUAGCUGGUCCGAGAGGAUGAUCAGCCACACUGGGACUGAGACACGGCCCAGACUCCUACGGGAGGCAGCAGGUGGGGAAUUUUGGACAAUGGGGCAACCCUGAUCCAGCCGUGCCGCGUGCGGGAAGAAGGCCUUCGGGUUGUAAACCGCUUUUGUUCGGGAAGAAAAGGCACGUCCUAAUACGGCGUGUUCUUGACGGUACCGGAAGAAUAAGCACCGGCUAACUACGUG